rnacentral:rRNA from 1 species
AACGUAGGAGACAAACGUUAUCCGGAGUUACUGGGCGUAAAGGGCGUGUAGGUGGUUUUGUAAGUCUGGCGUGAAAUUUUUCGGCUUAACCGGGAAAGGUCGUCGGAUACUGCAAGGCUAGAGGACGGUAGAGGCGAUGUGGAAUUCCGGGUGUAGUGGUGAAAUGCGUAGAGAUCCGGAGGAACACCAGUGGCGAAGGCGACACGCUGGGC